rnacentral:lncRNA from 1 species
UGAAGCAGACUGCUCCAGCAUCCUGCGUCUGGAUGCAGUUCCAGAGUACACCAGUUUGAAUCAAGGAAGUGACUCAGCAACAACCACAACCAUCCACACACACACACACCCAAUUGAUUCAGUCUAAUCUAAUAUGACUUACUACACUAAGCAACAGGAUUUUGGCUUCAGUUGGUGUUUUUGUAUACUAAUAGUAUUAACUGUAUUAACUGAAGUUCCUUCCUUUUAUUUAAAAACAGGAAUGCUUAGGUGAAGAGAACGGCUAUUUGGGAAUGUAUAAAACCUUACAGAAGGAAAAUCAGCAACUCAAAAAAACACUAAAAGAAAAGGAUUUGAUUAUAACAAGAUUAAUGAAGAUUAUUGAAAACCAGCAUGCAGAGCUGAUAUCUGAAAUGAAAAAGCAGAAUGAGGCUGAUAUAAGGUGCAGAGAAGAAAAGAUUGCCAAGCUGAAACAAUACAUUUCUGAGACUUUCGAAGAAAAAUCCCGGUAAGAGAUUAAAAAGUAUGCAGCCUGAGAAAGAAACUGCCUCAGCUCAAGGGUGUAUCUGCUCCUAGCUUUGCAUAUGCAGCAUCGGUUUGAACAUUUACAGUAGCUAAGCCGACCAUUGUCCCAACUAGCCAGCUGCUUAGAGGGCCUCCGGUCAUGUGCACGCUGACCUGAAAAUAAGUCCCACUGUAAACAGUAAGAUGUACUGUAUUUUUUCCGUGUAUAAGACGCCCCCAUGUAUAAGACAUCCCCCCCACACUUUUCUAACCCAAAAUUAAGAAAUCUAAGUGGGGCUUAGCAAAUGUAGGGUAAAAGGAUAAAAGUGCUGCAGGAUGGCUUUGAUCCUUGUUUUCUCCCUUUGUGGAGAAAUGGAGGGGGAAAGGGAUCCAAGCAAUUCCACGACUGCACAGUCAUUUUGGAGAAAAGGAGGGGGAAAGGGAUCAAAGCAAUUCCACGACUGCACAGUCAUUUUGAUCCUUUUCCCCCUUAUAUAGCCACGGGAUUGCUUUGAUCCUUUCCACUUCUUUUUGCUAAGUCCCAUGGGACUUAGCAANNNNNNNNNNNNNNNNNNNNNNNNNNNNNNNNNNNNNNNNNNNNNNNNNNNGGGAAAGCAGGGAUCAAAGCCCUGCAGGAUCAUUUUGAUCCCUGCUUUCCCCUCCACUUGUUUUUCUCCUCAGCUUACUUGCAUUUCCCCUCUAUUUUUAGUCUAAAGAUUUUAGACAAAAAUAUAGUCUUAUACAUGGAAAAAUACGGGAUUUCUGAGGAGGGCAUGUGUAAUAUCAUAGAAUAAGUUGCAUAGAAGCCAGCUGAGGAAGGCAUGUGUUAUAUCAUAGAAUAAGUUGCAUAGAAGCCAGCGGGAUUGAAUCAGAUUUACUCUGUGCAUGACUGCAAGCUUGGUUGGGUUGUGAGUUGGAGAUGCAAACGUAGGCUUCAUUCCGAAAGGAGUAAAUCUCAAGUUCAAUUGAAGAAAUAUCACCUGCCCUCUUCAGUUGGGGAAGCCUCAAAGAUGGUAUUACUCUUGGAACUAACUAUUCCCACAAAUUACACGACCGGAGUAUCUUAAGUACAUUGGCAUUAACUGAAUUAACAGAAACAAUUGGCACACCUCUUAAACAAAUAGUUGAACUGCAGGAGGCCUACCAGAUCAUGGUAAGUGUUCAGGGUGUGCUGAUCGUGUCAUGUUUUUGCUAUGGGAGAACAACCUCUUGUUGGACCAUCUUUUCUCUUUCCAGCGAACAUCAACAGCAGAUAGAUGAACUGAUGAGAGAAAUAAAUAAAUUCAUGGAGAUGUCA